UGGGGAAUAUUGCACAAUGGGGGAAACCCUGAUGCAGCGACGCCGCGUGAGCGAAGAAGGCUUUCGAGUCGUAAAGCUCUGUCCUAUGAGAAGAUAAUGACGGUAUCAUAGGAGGAAGCCCUGGCUAAAUACGUGCCAGCAGCCGCGGUAAUACGUAUGGGGCGAGCGUUGUCCGGAAUUAUUGGGCGUAAAGGGUACGUAGGUGGUUUUUUAAGUCAGGUGUCAAAGCGUGGAGCUUAACUCCAUUAAGCACUUGAAACUGAAAGACUUGAGUGAAGGAGAGGAAAGUGGAAUUCCUAGUGUAGAGGUGAAAUGCGUAGAUAUUAGGAGGAAUACCGGUGGCGAAGGCGACUUUCUGGACUUUUACUGACGCUCAGGUACGAAAGCGUGGGGAGCAAACAGG
rnacentral:rRNA from 1 species